rnacentral:tRNA from 1 species
GUCCAGUUCGUCUAGCGGUCAGGACUCCGCCCUUUCACGGCGGCAACACGGGUUCGAUUCCCGUACUGGAUACCU